rnacentral:ncRNA from 1 species
AGAAGCAGUGUGCGGUGAAAGUCGCAAGCACUGUUUUGAAUGGGAGGGUAGGAUAGCGAUAUCCUACUCGAC